rnacentral:rRNA from 1 species
GGCCAGACUCCUACGGGAGGCAGCAGUGGGGAAUAUUGCACAAUGGGGGAAACCCUGAUGCAGCGACGCCGCGUGAGUGAAGAAGUACUUCGUUAUGUAAAGCUCUAUCAGCAGGGAAGAAAGUGACGGUACCUGAGGAAUAAGCCACGGCUAACUACGUGCUAGCAGCCGCGGUAAUACGUAGGUGGCAAGCGUUAUCCGGAUUUACUGGGUGUAAAGGGCGUGUAGGCGGGACUGCAAGUCAGAUGUGAAAACCAUGGGCUCAACCUGUGGCCUGCAUUUGAAACUGUAGUUCUUGAGUACUGGAGAGGCAGACGGAAUUCCUAGUGUAGCGGUGAAAUGCGUAGAUAUUAGGAGGAACACCAGUGGCGAAGGCGGUCUGCUGGACAGCAACUGACGCUGAGGCGCGAAAGCGUGGGGAGCAAACAGGAUUAGAUACCCGCGUACGG